CUGCCUAGUAGUGGGGAAUAACCAGUCGAAAGACUGGCUAAUGCCGCAUACGACCUUAUUUCGUAUUGGAAUUUGGUGAAAGCGGGGGAUCGUAAGACCUCGCGCUAAUAGAUGAGCCGAAGUCGGAUUAGCUAGUUGGUGAGGUAACGGCUCACCAAGGCGACAAUCCGUAGCUGGUCUGAGAGGACGACCAGCCACACUGGGACUGAGACACGGCCCAG
rnacentral:rRNA from 1 species